rnacentral:rRNA from 1 species
GGCCAAUAUCAGUUUUUGGGGUAGAGCNCCUCUNGGAAUGAUAGCUUCUUNNGGGAGUGUUGAUUAGUCACUUGUAUGACGAUCAUAUUAUCUCUACGANACUCAGGAGCUGCUGCAUUAUUAUCUAAGGAUAAUUAGUNGUAAU